CCUACGGGCGGCAUCAGUGGGGAAUAUUGGGCAAUGGGCGCAAGCCUGACCCAGCAACGCCGCGUGAAGGAAGAAUGCUUUCGGGUUGUAAACUUCUUUUCUGCGGGACGAAGAAAGUGACGGUACCUCAGGAAUAAGCCACGGCUAACUACGUGACAGCAGCCGCGGUAAUACGGAGGUGGGAAGCCUUAUCCGGAUUUAUUGGGAUUAAAGGGCGUGUAGGCGGGAAAGCAAGUCAGAUGUGAAAACUCAGGGCCCAACCCUGAGCCUGCAGUUGAAACUGUUUUUCUUGAGUGCUGGAGAGGCAAGCGGAAUUCCGGGUGUAGCGGUGAAAUGCGUAGAUAUAAGGAGGAACACCAGUGGCGAAGGCGGAUUGCUGGACAGUAACUGACGCUGAGGCGCGAAAGCGUGGGGAGCAAACAGGAUUAGAUACCCUGGUAGUC
rnacentral:rRNA from 1 species